GCAUUGACUUCUAUCCGAAUG
rnacentral:miRNA from 1 species